GUGUGUGGAUGAUGUGAUAACCAAUUUUACAGUUAUCCCUGGCUGAUGUUGCAGUGAUGAUAAAUUGAAAUCUGACACACACUGUUAGGUUCCUUACAUGUUAUAUAGUGUAGUUUAAAUUUGUGAUAUAUCUUAAGUGAUUAUAUUGUUUAGUUUCUGUCAUAAGGGACUUUAGUUAAAAUGUAAUGUUGAUUAGAUUUGUGUGCAAAGUGAUGUGGAUGAUGAGAUUACAAAUUUUACAGUUAUCCCUGGCUGAUAUAUCAGGUGAUGAAAUUUUGCAAUCUGACACACACUGUGAUGUUCCCUUAAAAGUUAUGUCAUAUGUUUUUAGAUUGGAUUAGGUUCCUCUCAAUGGGGAUUAUAUUACAGUGAUCCAGUGUUAUUUUUAGUACCUUUUAAGUUUAAUGUUUUUUUACAUAAGAUACAGUGCCGAUGUAUACUUUCUUAGUCACUGCUCAUUUUGUAUGAAUUUUUUUAGAUUAGAUUAUUUUCUGUCUAGUUAUAUCACUUUUUUCAGUUUGACCUCACUAGUUUGAGAUGCUGAAGUUUAUAUCUGUGCACACAUACAUAGCUGUGGAUGAUGAUAUUGCCAAUUUUACAGUUAUCCCUGGCUGAUAUAGCAGAUGCUGAAAAUUUGUAAUCUGACACCAAUUGUUAGGUUCCAUACAAGUUAUAGCUUAGUUUAAUCUGUGUGUUCAGUUUUUCUCACUAGAUUUUUCAAUUUAGAAGUUGAGUUGUUUAGAUCUGCUUGUCCACUGUUUGGAUGAUGAGAUUAUCAAUUUUACAGUCAUCCCUGGCUGAUAUUGCAGGUGCUGAAAAUAUGUGAUCUGACACACAG